rnacentral:rRNA from 1 species
UACGGAGGGAGCUAGCGUUGUUCGGAUAUACUGGGCGUAAAGCGCACGUAGGCGGCGCCGUAAGUCAGGGGUGAAAUCCCGGAGCUCAACUCCGGAACUGCCCUUGAAACUGCAGUGCUAGAAUCCUGGAGAGGCGAGUGGAAUUCCGAGUGUAGAGGUGAAAUUCGUAGAUAUUCGGAGGAACACCAGUGGCGAAGGCGGCUCACUGGUCCGGUACUGACGCUGAGGUGCGAAAGCGUGGGGAGCAAACAGG